rnacentral:rRNA from 1 species
UACGUAGGGUGCAAGCGUUGUCCGGAAUUACUGGGCGUAAAGGGCUCGUAGGCGGCCAGCUAAGUCGGACGUGAAAUCCCUCGGCUUAACCGGGGAACUGCGUCCGAUACUGGAUGGCUUGAGUUUGGGAGAGGGAUGCGGAAUUCCAGGUGUAGCGGUGAAAUGCGUAGAUAUCUGGAGGAACACCGGUGGCGAAGGCGGAUCUCUGGGCCAUUACUGACGCUGAGGAGCGAAAGCGUGGGGAGCGAACAGG